ACACUCCUACGGGAGGAGCAGUGAGGAAUAUUGGACAAUGGGUGGAAGCCUGAUCCAGCCAUCCCGCGUGCAGGAAGACGGCCCUAUGGGUUGUAAACUGCUUUUAUCUGGGGAUAAACCUACUUACGUGUAAGUAGCUGAAGGUACCAGAAGAAUAAGCACCGGCUAACUCCGUGCCAGCAGCCGCGGUAAUACGGAGGGUGCAAGCGUUAUCCGGAUUUAUUGGGUUUAAAGGGUCCGUAGGCGGACUGAUAAGUCAGUGGUGAAAUCCGACAGCUUAACUGUCGAACUGCCAUUGAUACUGUUAGUCUUGAGUAAGGUUGAAGUGGCUGGAAUAAGUAGUGUAGCGGUGAAAUGCAUAGAUAUUACUUAGAACACCAAUUGCGAAGGCAGGUCACUAAGUCUUAACUGACGCUGAUGGACGAGAGCGUGGGGAGCGAACAGGAUUAGAUACCCCUGAAGUCCCAU
rnacentral:rRNA from 1 species